CAAGUCGCACGGGCAGGGCAACCUGUCAGUGGCGGACGGGUGAGUAACGCGUAGGUAUCUAUCCUUGGGUGGGGGACAACCGUGGGAAACUACGGCUAAUACCGCAUGAUAACCGAGGUUUAAAGGCGCAAGUCGCCUGGGGAGGAGCCUGCGUACGAUUAGCUAGUUGGUGGGGUAAAGGCCUACCAAGGCUGCGAUCGUUAGCUGGUCUGAGAGGAUGAUCAGCCACAUUGGGACUGAGACACGGCCCAAACUCCUACGGGAGGCAGCAGUGGGGAAUAUUGGACAAUGGGCGCAAGCCUGAUCCAGCAAUGCCGCGUGUGUGAAGAAGGUCUUCGGAUUGUAAAGCACUUUCGACGGGGACGAUGAUGACGGUACCCGUAGAAGAAGCCCCGGCUAACUUCGUGCCAGCAGCCGCGGUAAUACGAAGGAGGCUAGCGUUGCUCGGAAUGACUGGGCGUAAAGGGCGCGCAGGCGGAUGGCACAGUCAGAUGUGAAAUUCCCGGGCUUAACCUGGGGGCUGCAUUUGAUACGUGUGGUCUGGAGUGAGGAAGAGGGUUGUGGAAUUCCCAGUGUAGAGGUGAAAUUCGUAGAUAUUGGGAAGAACACCGGUGGCGAAGGCGGCAACCUGGUCCUUGACUGACGCUGAGGCGCGAAAGCGUGGGGAGCAAACAGGAUUAGAUACCCUGGUAGUCCACGCUGUAAACGAUGUGUGCUGGAUGUUGGGCGACCUAGUCGCUCAGUGUCGUAGCUAACGCGAUAAGCACACCGCCUGGGGAGUACGGCCGCAAGGUUGAAACUCAAAGGAAUUGACGGGGGCCCGCACAAGCGGUGGAGCAUGUGGUUUAAUU
rnacentral:rRNA from 1 species